AUUUGCUCUAGGGAUCCGACGGCUGGACAGCACAAGGUCUGGGAGCUCAAUCAAUGGCGCGGCCUGGACGGGAAUCUGGAGGAACUCUCAAGACGCUGGAAAAGUUGGAGAAGAAUGUUCGCGAUGGAAAGUUCUAUGAGGCCCAGCAGAUGUACAAAACAAUCUUUGCGAGAUACAUGGCUUCGAAGAAACACACCGAAGCAUUGGAUUUGCUGCAAUCUGGAGCUUCAAUCCAGCUCCGACACGGUCAGGUGACUUGUGGAGUAGAACUUGGAUUGUUGCUCGUCGAGGGAAUGACGACGAUCAAACUAGCGUAUGGUCCGGAGGCUUUGGAUAGAAUUAAGGCCGUUUUCAAAGAGUUUCCAAGAUCGCCAACGCUCGAGGCGCAAUAUUCUACGAAGACGCUAAUCGAAGGCGUCUCGACCUUCAUGAAGGUGGCGAUCAGAUGGUCUUCAGAGUUUGGCGCUCCCAGCAGAGGCUCUCCUGAAUUACACGAGUUGCUAGCCGAUUUCCUUGCCAGAGAAUCACCCCAACCUGACCUUGCAAAAGCCUUUUACCAUUAUGUUCGUGGAAACAAUCCUAGUGCCUUCGCAUCGGCCAUCAUCAGCGGCAUGCUGGAGCCCGAGGAAGGUGAUCUUCUUCUUGCGCGCGGGGUUUUCUUGUACUUGUCUAUGGGAAACCUCAGGGACGCCAAUAAGCUCUUCGAUGAACUACAUUCUCAGCUCAAGGACUCGUCACAAGCAAGCGUCUUGGCAUCUCCUCUCACACAUUUGGCGAAGUUUAUCUUGCUAACUCUUGAGAGGGACGCACUCCCUUUGUUUAGGAUGCUCCGUGAGAACUACAAGUCAAGUCUAGACCGGGAUCCUUCUCUUAACGAGCUCCUCGACGUUGUAGCGGAGAAGUUUUACAAUGUCCGACAACGCCGGAAUGGUUUGUUUGGAGAUUUGAUGAAGAUGUUAACAGAUGGAGGAGCUUAGGCCUAUAUAUUUUCUCCCUGGAAAACUUUCAUCAAUUUAAUCAACGUGGCAGGAAAAAGCGGGAAACUCGGGAUCGCGGACGUGGCAAUCUUCGUAUAUAAUCGAUCGAGCAGCGAACGUGCCCUACUGGAAAGAUGAGUUCCAUCGGAGGUCGCGGCAAGGCGCGGUCGGCGAAACCGGUCUCUCGCUCUCACAAGGCCGGAUUGCAGUUUCCAGUGGGCAGGAUCUCCAGAUUUCUCAAGACCGGCAAGUAUGCCGAUCGCGUCGGGGCUGGAGCGCCAGUGUACAUGGCCGCCGUGAUGGAGUAUCUCGCUGCGGAGGUGAUCGAGCUCGCUGGAAACGCCGCGCGGGAUAACAAGAAGAAUCGGAUCAUCCCCAGGCACAUCCAGCUCGCCGUGAGGAACGACGAGGAGCUCAGCAAAUUGCUCGGCAAUGUGGUGAUCGCUAGCGGCGGCGUGCUGCCCAACAUCAAUCAAUCGCUUCUUCCCAAGAAAUCGAGCCUCAAGGACGCGAUUGGAAGCCUCUCCCAGGAGUUUUGACCUAGACAGUGCUGUACAGAGCUAUAGCAGAUUAUGGAAUAUGAUCUUUACGGCUAGAAUUCCAAUCCAA